GCAGGUUCUUCUUCAAACUAUAAUCUCGAUGAUAAGUUUGAUCAAUGUUGUGAUCAAGCAUUAGAGAGUUAUGGUAAUCGUCAACGAGUCAAGCCAAAGAAGAAAAAAGCAUAUAUCGAAAGACAUCGUGAAGAAGGUCACAUCCAAUUAGUGAACGACUAUUUUACAGAAAAUCCAACAUAUCCUCCCCAUAUAUUCCGACGUCGGUUUAGAAUGAACAAACCGUUGUUCAUGCGUAUUGUUGAGAGAUUCUCCAAUGCAGUCCCAUACUUUAAACAAAGAAGAGAUGCUACAGGAAGACUCGGUUUCUCGGCACUACAGAAGUCUACAACAGCAAUUCGUAUGCUCGCAUAUGGUAUUGCGGCUGAUGCGGUUGAUGAAUACCUCCGAAUUGGUGAAUGCACGUCGCUAUUAUGUUUGGAACAUUUUGCAGAAGGAAUCAUAAAUUUGUUCGGGGAUGAGUAUCUAAGAAGACCCACACGAGAUGAUCUUAUACGACUACUCCAUAUUGGAGAGCAACGUGGAUUUCCCGGGAUGAUAGGAAGCAUCGACUGUAUGCAUUGGGAGUAAAAAAAUUGUCCCACCGCUUGGAAAGGACAAUAUACACGUGGAUCAGGAAAACCAACAAUCGUUUUAGAGGCCGUUGCUUCCCAAGAUCUCUGGAUAUGGCACGCGUUUUUUGGACCUCCAGAUGGAAUUUAUCCUAAAUGGGCUACAUUUAUCCAAUCAAUUUCAAUUCCACAAGGUGAUAAAGCUUCUUUAUUUGCUACAACUCAAGAAGCUUGUCGUAAAGAUGUUGAGCGUGCUUUCGGAGUUUUGCAAGCUCGGUUUGCCAUUGUCAAACAUCCAGCUCUUUUUCAUGAUAAGGUGAAAAUUGAAAAUAUUAUGCGAGCAUGUAUAAUACUUCACAAUAUGAUAGUAGAGGACGAACGAGAUGGGUAUACUCAGUUUGAUGUAUCUGAAUUCGUACAUCCAGAAUCAACCAGCUCUUCACAAGUGGAUUUCACUUAUGCUAGAGAUAUAUAUGCCUUCAAAUCUCGGUAAUAUGAUGGCCACUAGAGCCCGAGUUCGUGAUCGGAUUAAACAUGAAGAAUUGAAAGCUGAUUUAGUUGAACAUGUAUGGCAACAUUAUUACCAGAAUCAAUCUUAAAAUGUAAUCGUUAUUUUUUUCGCUUUUUUAAUAUGUUUUUUUUCUU